GGCUGCUGGACUGUCCCCCAGGAGGACGUCCCAUGUAGGGCGGCCUGGGUUGGAGGGGAGCAUAGGCAUGCAGGAGGGGCCAUCUGAUCAAGGCCUGGGGCUGCCCGAAGAUCGGGGAGUGGGGACACCUGCCCAUGGAGAGUGCAGCAGGGGGAGCAGUGGCCCCAGGAAGCCUGGUCACCCUGGAUGAGGGACACCUGCCCCCUCCAGGCUGUGCCCUGGGGGUCCUGUUCUGUGAUGGUCACUCCCCCUCAGCCUGCAGGCUCCCAGCAGAUCACCCAUCACCACUGGCCUCUCAGCCCCAUGUCUAGGCUUCACUCUCUCCGGCAUCCUUGCCUUCCUUCACCCCUGACUCAUCUGGAAAAACCCAACCCGCCACGCGGUCUGUGGGCCAUUGUUACGGCAGCCCUGGAAACUGCUACAAUCUCCAGUCUCCAAGACAACUGCCGACUGAAGACAGUGAAGAACGGAACGGUCAGGACCCGGGCCAGGCUUUGCCCCGGGGGAGAGGACGUUCCCACGUGCUGGGACUUGCCUGAAACGCCCCGGGAGGGACGCACAGCCAGGAAGAGGCAGGAGCCAGGUCUUCCUCCUCACUGCACAGCCUGGGUUCCGCUUGCAUUUUUUACUUUUUACCACGUUAAUAAGGAAAUAAAUAAAAUUCAGAUCAGGGAGAAAACAAAAUGUCAAAAGACCCAUGUAAACCCGACACCUCUCCUAACCCUCCUCUCACCUGACUUGCUGUUUAACCAUCGGCCACAAGGGUGGGAGCGGGGACCCUGCCUUUAGCAUCUGCCUGGUCUCUUUCAGAGGAAAGAAAAAUGAGAGGCAGG
ensembl:lncRNA